GGUCAGGUCCGCACGGGGACCAGCCCCUCGCACUUCCAGACGUCCGUUCUCUGAGCAGCGGGAGCCUGAUCGUCUCGUCUCAGAUGUUUCAUCCUUUCCUGAAUAUGAGCACAAAAUCCCAAUGGAGAACGAACUCAGAGACUCAAAGGUUUUAAAGUCCUGCACCCAUGGAGAAUUGCUGACUAAAAGGGGUUGGAACAGAACUGGGUCCCUAGGUGUGGAGACCAUUGUCAUCAAGAGUAAGAAAAUGAAAUGGCUCUGUAUGUAGGUCAACGACCCCCUCUCUACUGAAAGAUGACAAUACCAAGACACAGAUGAAUGAAAUACCUUGCCCAAGCUUGCACAGCUAGAGUUCAACCUAGACCUCAAAUGUAGCAAUAUGUGUACUUCUAACAUAUGAAAUUGUAAGGUAUAAAAAUAUCAAAACUGAAUAAAAU